rnacentral:ribozyme from 1 species
CCCAACCGUUGCUGCUACCUUGACGCGGUGGUCGGGCUUGCCUAUCAUGAUGAGCCAAUCGAGCUAUACUGGCUGGAAACAUCGUCCCUCAAGGUCCUACCAUGGCCAGGCAGGUCGGGUGAAGAGCGGUAAGACUAAAAGCAGC